rnacentral:misc_RNA from 1 species
GAAAUGCGAUAAGUAGUGUGAAUUGCAGAAUUCAGUGAAUCAUCGAAUCUUUGAACGCACAUUGCGCCCCUUGGUAUUCUAUGGGGCAUGCCUGUUCGAGCGUCAUCUACACCCUCAAGCUCUGCUUGGUGUUGGGCGUCUUUGUCCCGCCUCCGCGCGCGGACUCGCCCCAAAUUCAUUGGCAGCGGUCCUUGCCUCCUCUCGCGCAGCACAUUGCGCUUCUCGAGGUGUUGCGGCCCGCGUCCAGAAAGCAAUCGUUACCGUCUUUGACCUCGGAUCAGGUAGGGAUACCCGCUGAACUUAAGC